AUACGUAGGUGGCAAGCGUUGUCCGGAAUUACUGGGUGUAAAGGGCGUGUAGGCGGGAAGGCAAGUCAGAUGUGAAAGCCCAUGGCUUAACUGUGGAACUGCAUCUGAAACUGUUUUUCUUGAGUACUGGAGAGGAAAGUGGAAUUCCUAGUGUAGCGGUGAGAUGCGUAGAGAUUAGGAGGAACACCAGUGGCGAAGGCGGCUUUCUGGACAGUAACUGACGCUGAGGCGCGAAAGCGUGGGAAGCAAACAGGGUUAGAUACCCUGGUAGUCCACGCUGUAAACGAUGGAUACUAGGUGUGGGAGGUAUCGACCCCUUCCGUGCCGGAGUUAACACAAUAAGUAUCCCACCUGGGGAGUACGGCCGCAAGGUUGAAACUCAAAUGAAUUGGCGGGG
rnacentral:rRNA from 1 species